rfam:Gossypium arboreum cultivar AKA8401 contig_28549_1, whole genome shotgun sequence.
AUACCAUGGUGUGGACAUUUCCUAAGCAAUGACUUGAAGUGUUCCCACUCUUCGUAUAAUGUCUCUCCUUCAAAUUGAUUAAAAUUAGUAAUGUUAAGCCUUAGUUG